rnacentral:lncRNA from 1 species
UCUCCCACUCUCUCCCUCUCUCUUCCCCUGUCUCCCCCUCCCCCCCUCUUUCUUUUUGAGAUAGAAAAUAUGAAGUUGGAGAGCAAAGAAUAUGAUCAAAGUAUACUGUGUGGGGGUUGGUGGUUUAGCUCAGUGGCAGAGCGCUUGCCUUGGAAGCGCAAGGCCCUGGGUUCGGUCCCCAGCUCCGAAAAAAAGAACCAAAAAAAAAAAAAA